AAUUACAAAGCUAGGGUAUACGUGAAAUUGAGCAGUUGAAACUCUGUGAAGUAUUAAGCCUUGUGUUCCUCUCUACAACCUAGGGUUUCAUUCUUCUUCUUCUCAAGAUCAAAAAUUUAAAAUCUGAAGAACCUAUAAUUGAAGAAAGUGUAGAGCAAGUUGAAGUUCAAGAGGUUUUUGGUUCGUCAUCGAUGGUUUAAAGACACUGUCUUAUGUACAUAUAUAUGCUGCCAUUUUAUUUUUAUUCUUUUUAGGAAUUAUUUAAAAUGAUGCUUAACUCACCUCACUUUAUGCUUCUAGUUGUCUCCUAUCUGGGUUUGCAUUAUUUUUACUUUUCAUUAUUUUAGCAAGAUGGGUUUGUUACAAUUUGGAUUGGUUUCUCGUAAAUAUGAUACUUUAGUUUUUUGUA